rnacentral:rRNA from 1 species
AUGGAACUUCGCCGGAGCCGUCGGCGCUGCCUUGGAGCUCCGCCGGAGUUGCAAUGGAGCUUCGCCGGAGCCGUCGGUGCUGCGUUGGAGCUCCGCUGGAGUUGCAAUGGAGCUUCACCGGAGCCGUCGGCGUUGCGUUGGAGCUCCAUCCGGGCUGCAAUGGAAGUUGGCCGGAGUUGCAAUGGAGCUUCACCAGAGCAUCGGUGCUUCGGUGGAGCUGCAAUGGAGGUCGCCAGACGCCCUUGGCGCUUCGUUGGAACUCCGCCGGGGCUGCGAUGGCACCGUGUUGACCGUGUCGAAGCUGUCGCGCUCGCUGCUGCUGUGGCGCUGCUGUGA